AAAAAUACCCCCGUAAUGGGUACUGUUACUUUCUCCCAGGCCCACUUCUUUUUGUUCCUCCCCGUGGGCUGUGACAUUUCUCACUCUUUAGAACACUCCACACACACACGCACCCCACUUCCCCAUGUUUCCCCCUCCCCCAAUCUCUCGAACCUUCUCCCUCAUUCCUCUACUUUGUUUCUUCUCCCCUAUCUCUGCAACUCUCCUUCCCGGAGCAUAGACACACCACACCCACACCCCACCGAGAAAUGAUAUGUUGCCACCGCCCUCCUCCCCACCAACUCCUUCUCUAAUCUCAACACCGAGCUGUAGUGGGGAGUGGUGGAGAGAACUGAGAAGGCACACAAUGUGGUCAACUCAAGCUUUCUCUCUCCAGCGAGGAAGUUGGAUUUGUGCAGCUUGUGCUCCGGCGACGCUUUCUUCGUUUUUCUUUUGUUGCCAAACGCUUAGAUGGGGUUUCUAUUAGAACACCUGGUUUCUGUAAUGGAUUACAAUAUGACCCAUGCUUUGAUUUUGUCUGUUUCUUUAUCAUAUUUGCAAUGCUAUUCUGAUACAUCUUCUCACA